rnacentral:rRNA from 1 species
UACAGAGGUCUCAAGCGUUGUUCGGAUUCAUUGGGCGUAAAGGGUGUGUAGGUGGCGCGCUAAGUCGGGUGUGAAAUUUCGGAGCUUAACUCCGAAACUGCAUUCGAUACUGGCGUGCUUGAGGACUGGAGAGGAGACUGGAAUUCAUGGUGUAGCAGUGAAAUGCGUAGAGAUCAUGAGGAAGACCAGUGGCGAAGGCGGGUCCCUGGACAGUUCCUGACACUGAGACACGAAGGCCAGGGGAGCAAACGGG